GCCAGCAGGAGGGGCGAGGUGGUGACUGGCAGCCUGCGAGAUGUGUGCUGGCUUCAGACUUCCUUGUUCCUGAUCUGUUUGCCCCUCUGCCAUGGAGGGCGUGAUCACCAGGACUGAACUCAUAGCAGCCAGCUUUGCAACUGUUAAGGCACGGGAAGGCUGUGGGAUGCCACUGGGAGCCACUCGAAGCUGAGGAGAGUGACUCACACUGUUCUGAUUGGGAUGGCUUGGCAGGGAUGAGGAACGCAGGAGGAAGGUGGCUUGAAGACGUCUUGGGACAACCCAGACCGCCAUGUGAGGACCCAGUGAGAAGGCAGCGCUCUGCAAGCCAGGAAUUAAGCUCGCACUGGGAAAACGAAUCUGCUGUCGCCUUGAUCUUUCACUUUGCAGCCUCCAGAACUGUGAGAAAUAACGUCUGUUGUUUAAGCUACCCUGUGGUAUUUUGUUACAGCAGCCUGAACAGACUAAUACAUAAGCCAUCCAAAAUGUGUUAAUAUAAAUAAAAGUGAUUUUUCUGUCAAAAUGUAA